GGUGGAGUCAUCAUCCCUGGAGGUCUUUAAAAGGCGUUUAGAUGUAGAGCUUAGUGAUAUGGUUUAGUGGAGUACUUGUUAGUGUUAGGUCAUAGGUUGGACUCGAUGAUCUUGAGGUCUCUUCCAACCUAGACAAUUCUGUGAUUCUGUGAUCACCUUCCCAGGGAAUUAUGUGAGUCUGUUCUGGUCUGUCUUUCCCUUAAUCUUCCUUUUCACCUUCUUGAAGAUAUAGGUAACAUUUGUUUUCUCUCCUGAUUGCCACAGCCUUCAAAGGUAAUUCAGAGUGACCUCUCAAUUACAUUGAUAAAUUCUUUCAACACUCCUAGAUGUAUUCCUAACCUGUUCGUACUUCACUGAGAAAAAGUUUUCCUUGAUUUUGAUUUUGACACUGUUCUUGGUUUUACUAAUAAAGGCCAAGGUGAAGAAGGCAUUUAGUACUUCCUUUUACACAGCCUUUGACACCAGAUAUCCUGCCCCAUUGAGAAGUUUUUUUGCUGCUUGCAUUGUACCCAUGAAGCUUUUCUUGCUGUCCUUCAUGUCACUUGGCAUACAUGUAUUAAACUCCAGAUAGUCCUUGGCUGACCCUCUCCCUGCUCACUCAGAGUAUGUAUCUAUAUACCUCUUGGGUGAGCUGUCCCUGCUUCCACCUCCUGUAUUCUUCAUUUUCAUGUUGGAGUUUUGCCCAAAGCUCUGUGUUUAUCCUUCCAGUCCUCCUGCUGACUUUGCUUUAUUUCCUACAACAGGUAACACAGCAUGGAGGGCUGGGACUAGGACCGGCCUCUGCAAUGAGAGGACAUGGGGCUGGCUCCUGGCUGGACAUCACUGCAGAGCCUCAAGGCAUGCAUCUUGGCUGUGGGGAAACUUUCUCAAGAGAACAACUUGAAGAGAAUAUAUUUUCCUCCACACCUGUACAAACCAGUAUCUCAGCUAUCAGAAGUAAUGUAACCAUCCCGCUGCUCAAGAAAGGGGAUAUAGUGGGUACACAUCACAUGCCACCCUGUUGAUUUACCUGUGUGACCAUGAAGAGGAAAUGAGCAAAUGGUAUGGAAAAUCUACCUUGAACCUAGAGGCAUGAGUAUGUGCGUUGCAAGGAAAAAGGGGGUUCUUCUGGGAAAUUUGCUGCUCCAGUUUCCAGUGGGAAAACUGUCUACUCUGUCCCCCAGAGAGAGUUAAAGGGAUGAUCUUAUUCUGAUUUUAACAAAGGGAAUUCUGAUAUGUGUUUACAAGAAGUGAGUAUCAAAUACUAUGAUCUGGACUAGAGGGGUCCUGUCUCCAGCCAGAUGGAGGAAAGGGAGAACCAUACUUAAUGGGUCUGGCACAUCCUCUGCCAGAGGAGUAUAAGGCUCUAGUGGACACCAGUUCACAGUGUACCUUAAUGACAUCAAGAUAUAAAGGGGCAGAACUCAUUUGUAUUUCUGGAGUGACAGGAGAAUCCUAAAAGCAAACUGUACUGGAGGCUUAAGUGAGCCUAACUGUAAAUGAGUAGCAAAACCACCCCAUUGUGACUGGCCCAGAGUCUCCAUUUGUCCUUGGCAUAGAUUAUCUCCGAAUAGGAUAUUUCAAGGACAUAAAAGGGUACCAGUGGGCCUUCGGUAUUGCUGCCUUGGAGAUGGAGGAAAAGAAUCAGCUGUCCACCUUACCUAGUCUCUUGAAAAACCCUUCCUUUGUGGGGUUGCUGAGGGUCAAAGAAUGGCAGGUGCUGAUUGUUACCACAGCGGUGCACUGGCAGACAUAUUGCACCAACCAAGAAUCCCCAGCCCCAUCCAUAGAAUCAUAGAAUCAUUUAGGUUGGAAAAGACCUGUAAAAUCAUCUAGUCCAACUAUGAACCUAGCACUGCCAAGUCUACCACUAAACUAUGUCACUAAGCAGAACAUUUACACAUCUUUUGAAUACCUUCAACUACUUCCCUGGACAGCCUGUUCCAAUGCCUCACAACCCUUUCAGUGAAAAAAUUUUUCUUGAUAUACAACUUAAACCUCU
rnacentral:lncRNA from 1 species